AGCGUUCUGUAAGCCUGUGAAGGUGUGCUGUGAGGCAUGCUGGAGGUAUCAGAAGUGCGAAUGCUGACAUAAGUAACGAUAAAGCGGGUGAAAAGCCCGCUCGCCGGAAGACCAAGGGUUCCUGUCCAACGUUAAUCGGGGCAGGGUGAGUCGACCCCUAAGGCGAGGCCGAAAGGCGUAGUCGAUGGGAAACAGGUUAAUAUUCCUGUACUUGGUGUUACUGCGAAGGGGGGACGGAGAAGGCUAUGUUGGCCGGGCGACGGUUGUCCCGGUUUAAGCGUGUAGGCUGGUUUUCCAGGCAAAUCCGGAAAAUCAAGGCUGAGGCGUGAUGACGAGGCACUACGGUGCUGAAGCAACAAAUGCCCUGCUUCCAGGAAAAGCCUCUAAGCAUCAGGUAACAUCAAAUCGUACCCCAAACCGACACAGGUGGUCAGGUAGAGAAUACCAAGGCGCUUGAGAGAACUCGGGUGAAGGAACUAGGCAAAAUGGUGCCGUAACUUCGGGAGAAGG
rnacentral:rRNA from 1 species